GGUGGCAACCUGGUGCCACCCCAAGGAGGCCCAAGAGGGGACACCAGCUUUAAGCAAUCUCCCACUUACUGCUGGCUUUGCUUGAAUCAAGAUAAAAGGGGCACUUCAGACCUGGGAGAAGUUAAAGAGGAUGGAAAUUUUUUCUUUUUUCCUGACUCAUGAAAAACACCAGACAGUGAUGUGGAUGAUGUGGUGAAAGCUCUGAAGAAAAAAAAAUCUACUUAAGUCAAGGAAUAGGGGAAGUGGUCACUCUGCAAGGUCAUUUUCCUGUGAGACUCUGUGACAGCUGGAGAAAAUUAACCAAAAUAUCUGCAUUCCAGAGAGCUAUUUAUCGUCUGAAGGAUAAGAGAGCUCCCAAAGGAGAAAGAAGUAAAAGGAUGUGGCACUUUGCAUUACUAACUCCACUUAAUGCUAACCUCUUGUUGUGUUUGGAAUCUGAUAUACGUAUUGUCCAGGUAGUUACAAAAAUUUCCCCGACUAUUUACAGGACAGAUAAUGGUUCAAAAUAAGCAUUAAAUGAUCCAAAAUGUGAACUUAACAAGUUCAAAACUCAGGUAACUCUAAAACAUAUUGAAUUCACUUCUUUUAAAGGAAGUAUUUAGUUUGUGCACUUGUUUAAUUUUUAAAUGGACCAGAAGCAGAAGUUCAAAAUGUCACAAUAAACCUUGCUUUCAAAAGAUUGCUGCUUGAGCUUUACCUCAGUGAGAUUCAGAAAACUCCAGAUAAACUAUUCAGCUUGUUAUCUGAACCAAAAUGCUGAUCAUUUGAGGAUUAUUCAGCUCCCUAUCUUUACCAGACACC